rnacentral:rRNA from 1 species
CGCGUAGGCGGCCGCCUAAGUCAGACGUGAAAUCCCCAAGCUUAACUUGGGAACUGCGUCUGAUACUGGGUGGCUUGAGUUCGGGAGAGGAAUGUGGAAUUCCAGGUGUAGCGGUGAAAUGCGUAGAUAUCUGGAGGAACACCGGUGGCGAAGGCGGCAUUCUGGACCGAAACUGACGCUGAGGCGCGAAAGCCAGGGAGCAAACG